CAUUAAAACAUUGGUUCCUGUACGACCACCAAAAUUAAGCAAUGUCAAGCCUGGUCAGUACUUAGAUAGGUGACCACUUGGGAAUAUCAGGUGCUGUAAG